rnacentral:rRNA from 1 species
GAUGAACGCUGGCGGCGUGCUUAACACAUGCAAGUUGAACGGAGUGCUCAUGACGGAGGAUUCGUCCAACGGAUUGAGUUACUUAGUGGCGGACGGGUGAGUAACGCGUGAGGAACCUGCCUCGGAGUGGGGAAUAACAGCCCGAAAGGGUUGCUAAUACCGCAUAACCCGAUAGGAUCGCAUGAUCCAGACGGAAAAGAUUUAUCGGUGUGAGAUGGACCCGCGUCUGAUUAGCUGGUUGGUGAGGUAACGGCCCACCAAGGCGACGAUCAGUAGCCGGCCUGAGAGGGUGAACGGCCACAUUGGGACUGAGACACGGCCCAA